rnacentral:rRNA from 1 species
GACGAACGCUGGCGGCGUGCUUAACACAUGCAAGUCGAACGGAAAGGCCCUGCUUUUGUGGGGUGCUCGAGUGGCGAACGGGUGAGUAACACGUGAGUAACCUGCCCUUGACUUUGGGAUAACUUCAGGAAACUGGGGCUAAUACCGGAUAGGAGCUCCUGCUGCAUGGGGGGGGUUGGAAAGUUUCGGCGGUUGGGGAUGGACUCGCGGCUUGUCAGCUUGUUGGUGGGGUAGUGGCUUACCAAGGCUUUGACGGGUAGCCGGCCUGAGAGGGUGACCGGCGACAUUGGGACUGAGAUACGGCCCAGACUCCUACGGGAGGCAGCAGUGGGGAAUAUUGCACAAUGGGCGGAAGCCUGAUGCAGCGACGCCGCGUGCGGGAUGACGGCCUUCGGGUUGUAAACCGCUUUCGCCUGUGACGAAGCGUGAGUGACGGUAAUGGGUAAAGAAGCACCGGCUAACUACGUG